rnacentral:rRNA from 1 species
AUUGAACGCUGGCGGCAGGCCUAACACAUGCAAGUCGAACGGUAGCACAGAGAGCUUGCUCUCGGGUGACGAGUGGCGGACGGGUGAGUAACGUCUGGGAAACUGCCCGAUGGAGGGGGAUAACUACUGGAAACGGUAGCUAAUACCGCAUAACGUCGCAAGACCAAAGUGGGGGACCUUCGGGCCUCACACCAUCGGAUGUGCCCAGAUGGGAUUAGCUAGUAGGUGGGGUAAUGGCUCACCUAGGCGACGAUCCCUAGCUGGUCUGUGAGGAUGCACAGCCACACUAGAACUGAGACACAGUCCAGACUCCUACGGGAGGCAGCAGUGGGGAAUAUUGCACAAUGGGCGCAAGCCUGAUGUAGCCAUGCCGCGUGUAUGAAGAAGGCCUUCGGGUUGUAAAGUACUUUCAGCGGGGAGGAAGGCGGUGAAGUUAAUAACUUCACCGAUUGACGUUACCCGCAGAAGAAGCACCGGCUAACUCCGUGCCAGCCGCCGCAGUAA